rnacentral:rRNA from 1 species
AGUGAACGCUGGUGGUAGGCCUAACACAUGCAAGUCGAACGGCAGCACAGUAAGAGCUUGCUCUUACGGGUGGCGAGUGGCGGACGGGUGAGGAAUACAUCGGAAUCUACUUUUUCGUGGGGGAUAACGUAGGGAAACUUACGCUAAUACCGCAUACGACCUACGGGUGAAAGCAGGGGAUCUUCGGACCUUGCGCGAUUGAAUGAGCCGAUGUCGGAUUAGCUAGUUGGCGGGGUAAAGGCCCACCAAGGCGACGAUCCGUAGCUGGUCUGAGAGGAUGAUCAGCCACACUGGAACUGAGACACGGUCCAGACUCCUACGGGAGGCAGCAGUGGGGAAUAUUGGACAAUGGGCGCAGGCCUGAUCCAGCCAUACCGCGUGGGUGAAGAAGGCCUUCGGGUUGUAAAGCCCUUUUGUUGGGAAAGAAAAGCAGCAGGUUAAUACCCCGCUGUUCUGACGGUACCCAAAGAAUAAGCACCGGCUAACUUCGUG